CUUUCUCACUCUGACUUACGUGAAUAAAUUUUCAGCGACGCAGACAAGUUGACACUUCGAAAAUUUUCUAUCUUUAAUCCACUAGCGUCUGCGUGAAACAAGUGUUUUCAAUAGUGUUUAUUUUAGCUUUCGAUGUUUAAAGUUUUGCUAGUUAUACAAUGUUUUGUGAAAUAUGUGAAAUGCUUUAAGGAGUGUGCAACUACGUUUUAACAAAGUGCAGUGUUUGUGAACAAAGGAACAGCAUGUGUGUACUCGUUCGCACUGCUUCUGAUUUUCACCAACUGGUUCUGUUAUGUUGCUGUGCUCCACUGUAUCAUCAUAUUCUAUCGGUUCAUCAUUAGAAUUUGUUCGAUCAACCAUAUCAACGGAAUCAUGCUGGGUCGGCGAAACAAUGGGCAAUGUGCUUGUUUUUACCGUGGCCGUUUUCGACGAAGGAAACGCAGUUUUCAAGUCCGAUGGCGACCCAGUAACACGAGGACAAUAUCACUGUUUUGCAAACACACAAACGAUGCACGGCUGUAAAAUACUAUAUUAGAGUUCCACUAUUCAAAUAACUCCGACGCGUUCAACUAUUUGGCCGAUAUGAAAUGUAAACAAAGUUUGAUUUGACAGCUUUGAAUAAACGCA